rnacentral:rRNA from 1 species
GAUGAACGCUGGCGGCGUGCCUAAUACAUGCAAGUCGAGCGAACAGACGAGGAGCUUGCUCCUCUGACGUUAGCGGCGGACGGGUGAGUAACACGUGGAUAACCUACCUAUAAGACUGGGAUAACUUCGGGAAACCGGAGCUAAUACCGGAUAAUAUAUUGAACCGCAUGGUUCAAUAGUGAAAGACGGUUUUGCUGUCACUUAUAGAUGGAUCCGCGCCGCAUUAGCUAGUUGGUAAGGUAACGGCUUACCAAGGCAACGAUGCGUAGCCGACCUGAGAGGGGGAUCGGCCACACUGGAACUGAGACACGGUCCAGACUCCUACGGGAGGCAGCAGUAGGGAAUCUUCCGCAAUGGGCGAAAGCCUGACGGAGCAACGCCGCGUGAGUGAUGAAGGUCUUCGGAGCGUAAAACUCUGUUAUUAGGUAAGAACAAAUGUGUAAGUAACUAUGCACGUCUUGACGGUACCUGAUCAGAAAGCCACGGCUAACUACGUG